rnacentral:rRNA from 1 species
GAUGAACGCUGGCGGCGUGCUUAACACGUGCAAGUCGAACGAAGCACUUUAUUUUAUUUCCUUCGGGACUGAUUAUUUUGUGACUGAGUGGCGGACGGGUGAGUAACGCGUGGGUAACCUGCCUUUUACAGGGGGAUAACAGUUGGAAACGGCUGCUAAUACCGCAUAAGCGCACAGCAUCGCAUGAUGCAGUGUGAAAAACUCCGGUGGUAUAAGAUGGACCCGCGUUGGAUUAGCUAGUUGGUGAGGUAACGGCCCACCAAGGCGACGAUCCAUAGCCGACCUGAGAGGGUGACCGGCCACAUUGGGACUGAGACACGGCCCAAACUCCUACGGGAGGCAGCAGUGGGGAAUAUUGCACAAUGGGCGAAAGCCUGAUGCAGCGACGCCGCGUGAGCGAAGAAGUAUUUCGGUAUGUAAAGCUCUAUCAGCAGGGAAGAUAAUGACGGUACCUGACUAAGAAGCACCGGCUAAAUACGUG